rnacentral:rRNA from 2 species
UAGCGGCGGACGGGUGAGUAACACGUGGGUAACCUGCCUGUAAGACUGGGAUAACUCCGGGAAACCGGAGCUAAUACCGGAUAGUUCCUUGAACCGCAUGGUUCAAGGAUGAAAGACGGUUUCGGCUGUCACUUACAGAUGGACCCGCGGCGCAUUAGCUAGUUGGUGGGGUAAUGGCUCACCAAGGCGACGAUGCGUAGCCGACCUGAGAGGGUGAUCGGCCACACUGGGACUGAGACACGGCCCAGACUCCUACGGGAGGCAGCAGUAGGGAAUCUUCCGCAAUGGACGAAAGUCUGACGGAGCAACGCCGCGUGAGUGAUGAAGGUUUUCGGAUCGUAAAGCUCUGUUGUUAGGGAAGAACAAGUGCGAGAGUAACUGCUCGCACCUUGACGGUACCUAACCAGAAAGCCACGGCUAACUACGUGCCAGCAGCCGCGGUAAUACGUAGGUGGCAAGCGUUGUCCGGAAUUAUUGGGCGUAAAGGGCUCGCAGGCGGUUUCUUAAGUCUGAUGUGAAAGCCCCCGGCUCAACCGGGGAGGGUCAUUGGAAACUGGGAAACUUGAGUGCAGAAGAGGAGAGUGGAAUUCCACGUGUAGCGGUGAAAUGCGUAGAGAUGUGGAGGAACACCAGUGGCGAAGGCGACUCUCUGGUCUGUAACUGACGCUGAGGAGCGAAAGCGUGGGGAGCGAACAGGAUUAGAUACCCUGGUAGUCCACGCCGUAAACGAUGAGUGCUAAGUGUUAGGGGGUUUCCGCCCCUUAGUGCUGCAGCUAACGCAUUAAGCACUCCGCCUGGGGAGUACGGUCGCAAGACUGAAACUCAAAGGAAUUGACGGGGGCCCGCACA